UCCAAAGUCGAUUUAAGAUAGUUUACAAUAAAUGCAGAGUUAUGUUUUUAAGGGAAAAGGGAAAAAUGAGAAAUGAUGGAGAAAGUACUUUUCCACUUUUCAGGAAUUAAAAUAGUCAUGGAAAGAAAAAUAAAGUAUCAGGAAAUACAGGUAUCAAGUCAUUUAGUCUAAAUUACUUCUCACUGUACUUUGUUAAAAGGAGAUCAGAAUUUCAAAGACCAGAAGAGGUUGCUGAGAGUGGAAUUGUCCAGCCAUUGCAGCCCUCCUUCCACGGGAGAAAAGAAAGAGGUCUUGGACAAAUGUGGGAUUCCUGUGGUCUGGAAGUAAAUCUGAGGUGGGGUCUUGCUAUGUCACCCAGGCUGGAGUGCAGUGACUAUUCACAGGCAUGAUCAUCGCACACUACAGUGUUAAACUCUGGGCUUAAGCCAUCCUCCUGCCUCAGUCUCUCAAGUAGCUGGGACCACAGGCACAUGCCACCAUGCCUGGCUUGUACUUGAUUUUUAAAGUUCUUGGCAAUGUGUUUCUUAACAAUUAUCUUUGAAAAAUUGUCUUUUGUUGGCAUGUUCUUCUCAUGCAAUUGGAGACAGUUCUUCCUGCUAGUUUCACAUUUUACCUUUUUGGUGGGUUCUACUUGCCCAUUCCACACUGAUAGGAGCAUUUUUUCCCCCCUUUCUUUCCUUUUAUUAUUUUUAUUUUUUAACUUCCUGUGUUAGGCACCAAACCAUACUGCUCUGCCCCUGUUACCAAGAACUUAUGUUGCCAGUAUAAAUAAGAUCACCUGCUUUGUGCAUUGCCGUUCAGAGUGGCAGGGAGUUCAAGAUCCAGUGGUUUCGGGGUAGCACUCCAGGCUGGUAUACAUGGCCUUUUGGACCAUUCAAGUCUACCAGCAGUAAGGAAGAUUAAAGAAAUUGGCAGGAUCUUCAGUGUCAGCCAAUAUUAUCAGCAACUGCUGCACAUUCCGGAAGAACAUCAACACCCCUACUUUGACCCACACGAAUCAAUCGUCCUUGCUGCACCAGUUCUUCUGUAGCACCUGGAAGUGCUGCCAAACAAGGGGCUGACUGGCCAGGGUUGGCUCUUCCAGCCAGCAUUGUUUGUCCUGGGUCUCCAGAAACUGUCUCAUCAGCACUGAAUCUGCAAAUAUGAGUAACAUACACCUGGACAGAGCCCUGGAGGGGGCAGAGAGGUGUUCAGGGAUCAGCAGACGCGCUGAAAAACGGAUCGUCUUGCUGCAGGUGUGGUGGCUGCCAAGGCAGGCAGAGCCCUUUGGAUAGAGCCACAUCUGAGGUAUCUUUUCAUUUCCAAGCUUUAAAAAAGCACGAUGUUUCUUGAUGUAGGUUCUCCAUCGUCUGGCCUCUGCCUAUUCCCAUAGCACAUCCCCUGCUGGCCACUGCCACACACUGUAGACGUCCACCAAUGCCAAGUUGCUUGGUGGGCCCCACACACCCCAUGCUAUUUCCCACCUCCAGGCUCUGCUCAUAAAAUUCCUUCUGCCCUGUUGACUAGAGGAGUGCCCAGCAUGGAGUAGCCACCCAGGCAUGAUUAUGGAACUGAGCUCAUGAGACUUCAGGUCCCUUCUCUUCAUGUGGAGUCUCGCUGUGUCUCCCAGGCUGGAGUGCAGUGGCGUGAUCUCGGCUCACUUGUCUCCCAAGUUCAAGCAAUUCUCCUGCCUCAGCCUCCCGAGUAGCUGGGAUUACCGGCAUGUGCCACCACGCCCAGCUAACUUUUUAUAUUUUUUAGUAGAGAUGGGGUUCACCAUGUUGGUCAGGCUGGUCUCGAACUCCUGGCCUCAAAUGAUCUGCCCGCCUCGGCCUCCCAAACUGCUGGGAUUACAGGCGUGAGCCACCACACCUGGCCUGCGCACUCUUUAAGGCUUCUCCUUGGUCCAUUCCCCAUAGACAUGAGAUCUGACCUGUCUCAGCAUAGGCUAAGCCUAUCCCAGAGGCAUAGAUGCUGAUCAGAAUUGUAAGCUGGAGAAGAUAACACUUUCCAUUAGAUUAACCAACAACAUGAAUACAGCUUCUAGAAAUAUCUCAGGUAAUGAAUGAGACUGCCUCAUCCAAAUUACAAACAUAUCCAGGUUGUGAUAAUAUCUGUUUCUGUUAACAUAAUGGUCCUUAGUUGCUAUGGUAAUCUUCUCCGUUGACCUGACUCUAGUGGAUGAGGUUAUCAGGGCCCUAUCACUUCCCAGCAUCAAAGCAAUCUUCUAAUCUGCCACACAAACUAGGGCAUUUUUGAAGGUCAGAAGGAUUGCUAUUUAUAAUACACCAAUGCAACAGGUAUAAAUAAGACAGUUCCUGGCAAAUUGAGAUACAUGGUGACAUUUCCUAUCAGACUUUAAAGUAUCUCACAUAAAUAGAUCCUCAACAAGUGUUUCCUGGAUGAAUAUAUUUGUUUUUUCCUCCGUUGUAAUUUAAGUUUCUUAAGAACAGAGGUGGCUGGGUGCGGUGGCUCACGCCUGUAAUCCCAGCACUUUGAGAGGCCAAAGCUGGUCGAUUACCUGAGGUCAGGAGAUCAAGACCAUCCUGGCUAACACGGUGAAACCCCGUCUCUACUAAAAAUACAAAAAAUUAGCUGCACGUGGUGGCGGG
rnacentral:lncRNA from 1 species